GAUGAACGCUAGCGGAGGCUUAAUACAUGCAAGUCGAGCGGGAUUCUCCUUCGGGAGAUGAGAGCGGCGCACGGGUGAGUAACGCGUACGUAACCUGCCUUACAGAGGGGAAUAGCCCUGGGAAACUGGGAUUAAUACUCCAUAGUAUAUAGAUGGCGCAUGCUGUUUAUAUUAAAGUUGAGGCGCUGUAAGAUGGGCUGCGUGCUAUUAGCUAGUUGGUGAGGUAACGGCUCACCAAGGCUACGAUAGCUAGGGGCGUGAGAGCGUGGCCCCCCACACGGGUACUGAGACACGGACCCGACUCCUACGGGAGGCAGCAGUAAGGAAUAUUGGACAAAUGGUCGAAAGACUGAUCCAGCCAUCCCGCGUGCAGGAUGACUGCCCUA
rnacentral:rRNA from 1 species